AGAGUUUGAUCCUGGCUCAGGAUGAACGCUAGCGGGAGGCCUAACACAUGCAAGCCGAGCGGUAUUGUUUCUUCGGAAAUGAGAGAGCGGCGUACGGGUGCGGAACACGUGUGCAACCUGCCUUUAUCUGGGGGAUAGCCUUUCGAAAGGAAGAUUAAUACUCCAUAAUAUAUUGAACGGCAUCGUUUAAUAUUGAAAGCUCCGGCGGAUAGAGAUGGGCACGCGCAAGAUUAGCUAGUUGGUGAGGUAACGGCUCACCAAGGCAAUGAUCUUUAGGGGCCUGAGAGGGUGAUCCCCCACACUGGUACUGAGACACGGACCAGACUCCUACGGGAGGCAGCAGUGAGGAAUAUUGGUCAAUGGGUGCAAGCCUGAACCAGCCAUCCCCGCGUGAAGGACGACUGCCCUAUGGGUUGUAAACUUCUUUUGUAUAGGGAUAAACCUACUCUCGUGAGGGUAGCUGAAGGUACUAUACGAAUAAGCACCGGCUAACUCCGUG
rnacentral:rRNA from 1 species